rnacentral:rRNA from 1 species
CCAGACUCCUACGGGAGGCAGCAGUGAGGAAUAUUGGUCAAUGGGCGGAAGCCUGAACCAGCCAAGUCGCGUGAGGGAAGAAGGCCCUGCGGGUCGCAGACCUCUUUGGACGGGGAGCAAGGCCGCCGACGUGUCGGCGGAAGGAGAGUACCCGUAGAACAAGCAUCGGCUAACUCCGUGCCAGCAGCCGCGGUAAUACGGAGGAUGCGAGCGUUAUCCGGAUUUAUUGGGUGUAAAGGGUGCGUAGACGGGAAAAUAAGUUAGUUGUGAAAUCCCUCGGCUCAACUGAGGAACUGCAACUAAAACUAUUUUUCUUGAGUGCAGGAGAGGAAAGUGGAAUUCCUAGUGUAGCGGUGAAAUGCGUAGAUAUUAGGAGGAACACCAGUGGCGAAGGCGACUUUCUGGACUGUAACUGACGUUGAGGCACGAAAGUGUGGGGAGCAAACAGGAUUAGAUACCCCAGUA